CAGCCAUAAUCGGCGCUUCUCCGACCAAUUCCCCUCUGUAAUUCAAAAACGCGGUGCUGUUCUUGUAGCUGAAUCCGACCUUGUUAGGGUUCGUGAUUGCGAUGUCGGCGAUUAGAGUGACGUUGAUGUCGACGGAGACUCCGGCUAGGUUUAGCGACACGUCGAGAUCGGCUAGGGCAACGGAAUUGACGGUGGUGAUUGGGCGUUUGGCUUUGAAGACUGUGAAGGCGAGAAUGAUGAUUAUGAUGAUGAGAAGGAGGAGGAUGGCGAUGGAGAUUCCGAUGCAGGUGUUGCGGCGUUUCCGGGAACGGGUGGCGGCGGCGGCGGUGGAUUGAGUGGAUUUGGGGUCUUUGAUUAAAGAGGAGGAGGAAGAAGCGAUUUCCAUGGCAGAUUUUGGGAGAAGAAUAGUGAGAAAUUGGGAAUUUAUGGAGACAUUUGAAAAAUUGGGGGAUUAUUCUAACUCUCAACUAAUUGAAAUUAAUUUUGGAGUAGGAAACAGGUAGAUGGAGAAAAGUGUUUAUCCAUU
rnacentral:lncRNA from 1 species